AAUAACCCGAACAACCUGGAGUGUCUUAAGAAAAAUAAGUGCAAUUUUAACAACAUUCUACCUGUUUUUAGAUGGUUUUGUGUGUUUUUAG